rnacentral:rRNA from 1 species
GACGAACGCUGGCGGCGUGCUUAACACAUGCAAGUCGAACGAGAAGAGAUGAGAAGCUUGCUUCUUAUUGAUUCGAGUGGCAAACGGGUGAGUAACGCGUAAGCAACCUGCCCUUCAGAUGGGGACAACAGCUGGAAACGGCUGCUAAUACCGAAUACGUUCUUUUGUCGCAUGGCAGAGGGAAGAAAGGGAGGCUCUUCGGAGCUUUCGCUGAAGGAGGGGCUUGCGUCUGAUUAGCUAGUUGGAGGGGUAACGGCCCGACCAAGGCGACGAUCAGUAGCCGGUCUGAGAGGAUGAACGGCCACAUUGGGACUGAGACACGGCCCAGACUCCUACGGGAGGCAGCAGUGGGGAAUCUUCCGCAAUGGACGAAAGUCUGACGGAGCAACGCCGCGUGAACGAUGACGGCCUCGGGUUGUAAAGGUU